rnacentral:misc_RNA from 1 species
GAUGAAGAACUCAGCGAAAUGCGAUAAGUAGUGUGAAUUGCAGAAUUCAGUGAAUCAUCGAAUCUUUGAACGCACAUUGCGCCCCUUGGUAUUCCAUGGGGCAUGCCUGUUCGAGCGUCAUUUGUACCUUCAAGCUUUGCUUGGUGUUGGGUGUUUGUCCAUUCUCUUGCAGAGGGACUCGCCUUAAAGUAAUUGGCAGCCAGUGUUUUGGUUUUGAAGCGCAGCACAAGUCGCGAUUCAACGCUAUACGCCAGCUUCCACAAGCCUUUUUCACUUUUGACCUCGGAUCAGGUAGGGAUACCCGCUGAACUUAAGCAUAUCAAUAAGCGGAGGA